rnacentral:rRNA from 1 species
GAUUAACGCUGGCGGCGUGCAUAACACAUGCAAGUCGAACGAUGAAGAUUAUUAGACUUCUUCGGAAUGAAAAUAAUUGGAUUAGUGGCGGACGGGUGAGUAACGCGUGAGUAACCUGCCUUACACAAGGGGAUAGCCGUUGGAAACGACGAAUAAUACCCUAUGAAACUAUCACUUCGCAUGAAGCGAUAGUCAAAGUGUUAGCGGUGUAAGAUGGACUUGCGUCUGAUUAGCUAGUUGGUGAGAAAAAAGCCCACCAAGGCAACGAUCAGUAGCCGGCUUGAGAGAGUGUACGGCCACAUUGGGACUGAGACACGGCCCAGACUCCUACGGGAGGCAGCAGUGGGGAAUUUUGCACAAUGGGGGAAACCCUGAUGCAGCGACGCCGCGUGAUUUAGAAGGCCUUCGGGUUGUAAAAAUCUUUUGUAUAGGAAGAAAAUGACAGUACUAUACGAAUAAAGUCCGGCUAAUUACGU